rnacentral:rRNA from 1 species
GACGAACGCUGGCGGCGUGCUUAACACAUGCAAGUCGUACGGUAAGGCCCUUUCGGGGGUACACGAGUGGCGAACGGGUGAGUAACACGUGAGUAACCUGCCCACAACUUUGGGAUAACGCUAGGAAACUGGUGCUAAUACUGGAUAUGUGCUCCUGCUGCAUGGUGGGGGUUGGAAAGCUCCGGCGGUUGUGGAUGGACUCGCGGCCUAUCAGCUUGUUGGUGGGGUAGUGGCCUACCAAGGCGGCGACGGGUAGCCGGCCUGAGAGGGUGACCGGCCACAUUGGGACUGAGAUACGGCCCCGACUCCUACGGGAGGCAGCAGUGGGGAAUCUUGCACAAUGGGCGCAAGCCUGAUGCAGCAACGCCGCGUGCGGGAUGACGGCCUUCGGGUUGUAAAACGCUUUCAGCAGGGACGAAGCUUUUUGUGACGGUACCUGCAGAAGAAGCACCGGCUAACUACGUG